rnacentral:rRNA from 1 species
UACGUAGGCAGCAAGCGUUGUUCGGAAUCACUGGGCGUAAAGGGAGUCUAGGCGGUUUGGUAAGUGGGAUGUGAAAUGCCCGGGCUCACCCCGGGACCUGCAUCCCAAACUGCUGAGCUUGAGUACAGGAGAGGGUGGGGGAAUUCCAGGUGUAGCGGUGAAAUGCGUAGAUAUCUGGAGGAACACCGGUGGCGAAGGCGCCCACCUGGCCUGCUACUGACGCUGAAGCUCGAAAGCUAGGGGAGCAAACGGG